rnacentral:tRNA from 1 species
GGAGAGGUGACAGAGUGGCCGAUUGUGCAGCAUUGGAAAUGCUGUGUUGUGGAAACGCAACCGCGGGUUCGAAUCCCGCCCUCUCCGCCA